CUUCCUUAUCGUCGCGCUCUCUCUCAAAAGUCCAAAGUACAAAACGACUUCGGUUACAUUCUUCUCCUUCAAGAAAACUUGGCUGGCUGGCUAGCUCGCAUUCUGUUCAUCUGCCUGAUUUUUUUUUUCCUCCUUUGUUAAUACUUCUUUUUUUCCCCCCUAAGGAAUGAUGUUCGGUCUCAUUUCUAAAUUCCCAGAAACUCAUUCCCCCUGACUUACGUUACUUGAAGUGGGGUCCAAAUUAACGCCACCAUUAUCAGAUUAUUUUGCUUCCUUGACAAUGCCAUGCUGAGAAUUACCGAAUCUCACCUACUAAUUCUUCACCAACUACAAACAUUUUGGAUGGAUUUAGAUUUCCCUGAGACCUUUUUUUAAGGCCUCGUAGAUUGGAUUUUCUCAUGGCUCUGAAGGGCGUUUCCAUCUGGAGUUGUUCCCAAGCUCCUCAAUUGGGUGUUGCAAAUUCUCAUUCGGGAAAUUCUGGGAAGAUUGUCAAUUUGAGAGGUGACUUUGGGAAAUGCCGCAAAUGGGAAUGCUGUUGUUUGGAUGUUUUAGCUCAGAGAGCUACGACUCCCGUUGAAGAUGAGAAGCCAACUAUGCCAAUGGUUGAAAUUUCUAGGCCCAGUGAUGGGGCUCAUGAAAAUGACUCCAAGGGGUUUCACAAGGAUUUAAACCUGCUUCCUAGUGAGUUAUAUCUAUCCGAACCAUUGACAGCUAAUGAUGUUUCUUCUCCUCCAAGUGAUGGAUCAAAGGUGCGCGUUGCAUAUCAGGGCAUACCUGGAGCAUAUAGUGAGGAUGCAGCUUUGAAGGCAUAUCCAAAAUGUGAGACUGUUCCAUGUGAUGAAUUUGAAGUUGCAUUCAAGGCAGUUGAGUUGUGGAUAGUGGAUAAAGCUGUUCUACCCAUUGAAAAUUCUGUUGGUGGAAGUAUCCACCGUAAUUAUGAUUUGCUUCUUCGCCAUAGGCUGCACAUUGUUGGAGAGGUGCAGUUGCAAGUUAACCACUGCCUCUUAGGAUUGCCUGGUGUGAGAAAGGAGGAGCUGAAACGUGUUGUGAGUCAUCCUCAGGCUCUUGCUCAAUGUGAGGUGAUGCUUAACAACUUAAAUGUUAUCAGAGUUGGUUCACCUGAUACAGCUGGUGCUGCUCAGACAGUGGCAUCGAAUGGCAUUAGAGACACUGGAGCUAUUGCUAGUGCUAGAGCUGCCAAGCUAUAUGGCCUAGACAUGCUUGCAGAAAAUGUCCAGGAUGAUGAUGAGAAUAUUUCACGUUUUCUGAUCCUUGCAAGGGAGCCUGUAAUUCCAGGAACUGACAGACGUUAUAAGACUAGCAUUGUUUUUAGUCUGGAAGAAGGGCCUGGUGUCCUUUUCAAAGCUUUGGCAGUUUUUGCUUUGAGGGACAUUAAUUUGUCAAAGAUAGAGAGCCGUCCACAGCUACAGCGCCCAUUAAGGGUAGUUGAUGAUUCAAAUCAAGGGAGAGCCAAGUACUUCGAUUACCUCUUCUUCAUCGACUUCGAAGCUUCUCUGGCAGAACCUCGUGCGCAAUUUGCUUUAGGACAUUUGCAGGAAUUUUCAAGUUUUCUUCGUGUUCUUGGUUGUUAUCCUAUGGAUACAGUAUGAUUGAGGCUGAAUGCCUGAACAAGGAGUAGAAGUCCAUGCUGUAAAUUUUACUGAUCUGGGCAAAAGCCAUUACCAUUGACCACCAGAUGUUCUUCCUGAAUCAGAGUGAAGUGGAACCGAUACAAGGCGUAAAAGCUGAUACAGAAGACAGAUUAAUCAUCUGAGGUUAUUGAGUCUGUUCCUAGUAAUUUUCUAAGAACAGCACGUACUUAGCUGUGCCAAUCAAAUCAUCCAUCAAUGUAUGUCUAGAACGUAUUUUUCCGUCUAUUUAGGAUCAACUUAUAUCUUGGAACCUCUGCCUCACUAGUGAUGUUGGUCUUGGGAUUUUUAUUUUAUUUUUAUAUUUUUCCUUUUCGGCUCCUCUUUCUUUUUCUCAAGACCCGAACUAGUUCUAAAGAAUCUAAUUAGUUUAUUUUCUAAUGAAAUAUGUUUAUUAUUUA